GGGGCGCUGGCGCAACGGUAGCGUGUGAGAUUCCAGAAAAAGCUUGUAAAAGCUUAUAGGAGACUCCUCAAGGUUAUCAGUUCAAAUCUGGUGUGCCUCA